ACGAACGCUGGCGGCGUGCUUAACACAUGCAAGUCGAACGGAAAGGCCCUGCUUUUGUGGGGUGCUCGAGUGGCGAACGGGUGAGUAACACGUGAGUAACCUGCCCUUGACUUUGGGAUAACUUCAGGAAACUGGGGCUAAUACCGGAUAGGAGCUCCUGCUGCAUGGUGGGGGUUGGAAAGUUUCGGCGGUUGGGGAUGGACUCGCGGCUUAUCAGCUUGUUGGUGGGGUAGUGGCUUACCAAGGCUUUGACGGGUAGCCGGCCUGAGAGGGUGACCGGCCACAAGGGGACUGAGAUACGGCGCAGACGCGAACGGGAGGCAACAGUGGGGAGUAUUGCACAAUGGGCGGAAGCCUGAUGCAGCAACGCCGCGUGCGGGAUGACGGCCUUCGGGGUGUAAACCGCUUUCGCCUGUGACGAAGCGUGAGUGACGGUAAUGGGUAAAGAAGCACCGGCUAACUACGUG
rnacentral:rRNA from 1 species